AGGGUUCGAUCAUAUCAGAUUGAAGACGCUGGCGGGAUAGCUUCACAUGCAAGUCGAACGGCAGCACGGACUUCGGUCUGGUGGCGAGUGGCGAACGGGUGAAGUAAUGUAUCGGAACGUGCCUAGUAGCGGGGGAUAACUACGCAGCGUAGCUAAUACCGCAUACGCCCUUCGGGGAAAGCUGGGGACCUUCGGGCCUCGCACUAUUAGAGCGGCCGAUAUCGAGUUAGCUAGUUGGUGGGGUAACGGCUCGCAAGGCGACGAUCCGUGGCUGGUUUGAGGAGGACGACCAGCCACACUGGGACUGAGACACGGCCCAGACUCCUACGGAAGCGGCAGUGAAAUUUUGGACAAUGGGGAAACCCUGAUCCAGCCAUCCGCGUCGAUGAAGGCCUUCGGGUUGUAAAGCACUUUUUGGCAGGAAAGAAACGGCACGGGAUAAUACCCCGUGCAACUGACGGUACGCCUGCAGAAUAAGCACCGGCUAACUACGUGCCAGCAGCCGCGUGUACGUAGGGUGCAAGCGUUAAUCAGGAAUUACUGGGCGUAAAGCGUGCGCAGGCGGUUCGGAAAGAAAGAGAUGUGAAAUCCCAGAGCUUAACUUUGGAACUGCAUUUUUAACUACCGAGCUAGAGUGUGUCAGAGAGGAGAUUACGUUCACGUCUCAACAGUGAAAUGCGUAGAUAUGCGGAGAACACCGCCGAUGGCGAAACAGCCUAUAAGAUAACACUGGCACUCAUGCGAAAGCGUGGGGAGCAAACGGGAUUAGAUACCCUGGUAGUCCACCCUAAACGAUGUCAACUAGCUGUUGGGGCCUUCGGGCCUUGGUAGCGCAACUAACGUGACGAAGUUGACCGCCUGGAGUACGGUCGCAAGAUUAAAACUCAAAGGAAUUGACGGGGACCCGCACAGCGGUGGAUGAUGUGGAUUAAUUCGAUGCAACGCAGAAAACCUUACCUACCAUAAACAUGUCUGGAAUCCCGAAGAGAUUUGAGAGUGCUCGCAAGAAGGAGCAGGUGGGUGCUGCAUGGCUGUCGUCGGCUCGUGUCGUGAGAUGUUGGGUUAAGUCCGCAACAGGCGCAGCCCUUGUCAUUAAGUUGCUACGAAAGGGCACUCUAAUGAGACUGCCGGUGACAAACCGAGAGGAAGGUGGGGAUGAUCAGGUCUCCCAUGGCCCUUAUGGGUAGGGCUUCACACGUCAUACAAUGGUCGAGACAGAGGGUCGCCAACCCGCGAAGGAGGCCAAUCCCAGAAACCCGAUCGUAGUCCGGAUCGCAGUCUGCAACUCGACUGCGUGAAGUCGGAAUCAUAGUAAUCGCGGAUCAGCAUGUCGCGGUGAAUACGUUCCCGGGUCUUGUACACACCGCCCGUCACACCAUGGGAGUGGGUUUACCAGAAGUAGUUAGCCUAACCGUAAGGAGGGCGAUUACCACAUUGGGAUUCGCGAGCUGGGGUGAAGUGUGCUCAGGUAA
rnacentral:rRNA from 1 species